GGUCAAGCUACAAAGAGCGCAUGGUGAAUGCCUUGGCGUCAGGAGCCGAAGAAGGACGUAGCAAUCUGCGAUAAGCCUCGGGGAGCCGAAAGCAGGCUUUGAUCCGGGGAUUUCCGAAUGGGGAAACCUACUGGCCGUAAUGGGCCAGUACUUCCAGAUGAACACAUAGUCUGGACAGAGGGAACCCGGGGAACUGAAACAUCUAAGUACCCGGAGGAAAAGAAAAAAUCAUUUGAUUCCCUAAGUAGCGGCGAGCGAAACGGGAAGAGCCUAAACCAGUGCGCUCACUUGGUGAGCGCCAAUCGUGAAGAGUGAAGGAAGAAGAAAAAGAGUAAGGCUUCCGACAUAACUCUGAACAUGAAGUAAAGAGGAAUGAAGAAAGGGUUUGAACAUUUCAGACCACAGCCUUCAGGCUUCAAACUUCGCUCACGAAGUGAGCGUACUGGGGUUACGGACCAGACACGUGGAGUUACAAAACCUUGUUCUAGUCGAACCACCUGGAAAGGUGGGCCACAGAAGGUGAAAGCCCUGUAAGCGAAAGGGCAGGGUCUCCGUCUGAGUUCCAGAGUACCACGGGACACGUGGAACCCUGUGGGAAGUCGGGAGGACCAUCUCCCAAGGCUAAAUACUACCUGACGACCGAUAGUGAACCAGUACCGUGAGGGAAAGGUGAAAAGCACCCCGGAAGGGGAGUGAAACAGAACCUGAAACCGUGUGCUUACAAUCAGUCGGAGGACUAUUCGCCAUCCACGGAUGGCGCAAGUCUGACGGCGUACUUUUUGUAGAACGGUCCUGCGAGUUACCAUAUGUAGCAAGGUUAAGGCGCAAAGCCGGAGCCGCAGCGAAAGCGAGUCUGAAUAGGGCGAUGGCCUCCGCAAGGGGGCGAAGUUGCAUGUGGUAGACCCGAAACCGGGUGAUCUAGCCAUGGCCAGAGUGAAGUUCCGUUAAACCGGGAUGGAGGCUCGAACCACAUUGUCGUUGAAAAGGCAUGGGAUGAGCUGUGGUUAGGGGUGAAAUGCCAAUCGAACCCGGAAAUAGCUGGUUCUCCCCGAAAUAGCUUUAGGGCUAGCCUCGGAAAAAGUUUCGCGGAGGUAGAGCACUGAUUGGGCUAGGGGCCUUACCAGGUUACCGAACCCGUUCAAACUCCGAAUACCGUUAAACAAGUCCGGGAGUCAGACAAUGGGGGAUAAGCUUCAUUGUCAAAAGGGAAACAGCCCAGAUCUGCAGCUAAGGUCCCAAAGUUGAUGCUAAGUGGAAAACGAUGUGGGAUUGCACAGACAACCAGGAUGUUGGCUUAGAAGCAGCCAUUCAUUUAAAGAGUGCGUAAUAGCUCACUGGUCGAGUGGUCCUGCGCGGAAGAUGUAACGGGGCUCAAGCAUCACACCGAAGCUCAGGGUUAACGUCCGAUAAGGACGUUUCCGGUAGGGGAGCAUUGUGUAUUCAUUGAAGUCGUACCGUAAGGAGCGGUGGAGGAUACACAAGAGAGAAUGCAGGAAUAAGUAGCGAAAAGACAGGUGAGAAUCCUGUCCGCCGAAAGCCUAAGGUUUCCUGAGGAAGGUUCGUCCGCUCAGGGUAAGCCGGGUCCUAAGCCGAGGCCGGAAGGAGUAGGCGAUGGAUAACUGGUCAAAAUUCCAGUGCCGCCGUGAGCCGUUAUCAACGAAGAGGUGACGCAGGAGGGAAAGCCAUCAGACCGAUGGAUGUCUGUUUAAACGGGUAGGAUUGUGUGUAGGCAAAUCCGCACACUAUAAGUCCGAGACGUGACGACGAGUUGCGAUUACAUCAAGACGAAGUGGCCGGCCCCAAACUGCCUAGAAAAGCCCCUAGUGAGGCAUCUGGCGCCCGUACCGCAAACCGACACAGGUAGGCGAGAAGAGAAUUCUAAGGCGCGCGAGAGAACCCCUGUUAAGGAACUCGGCAAAUUAACCGCGUAACUUCGGGAAAAGCGGUACCUCAUACUCGUGAGAGAGUUAACCAAUCAAGCGAGGAGAGGUUUCAAUAAAAUGGCCCAAGCGACUGUUUACCAAAAACACAGGUCCCUGCUAAGUCGAAAGACGACGUAUAGGGGCUGACGCCUGCCCAGUGCUGGAAGGUUACGGGGAGGGGUCAGGAGCGGACUUGUCCGCUUCAAAGCUCUGAACUUAAGCCCCAGUAAACGGCGGCCGUAACUAUAACGGUCCUAAGGUAGCGAAAUUCCUUGUCGGGUAAGUUCCGACCUGC
rnacentral:rRNA from 1 species